rnacentral:rRNA from 1 species
UACGUAGGGGGGCAAGCGUUGUCCGGAUUUAUUGGGCGUAAAGAGCGUGUAGGCGGCCAUGUAGGUCCGGUGUGAAAAACUCGAGGCUUAACCUCGAGAUGUCAUCGGAAACCAUCUGGCUAGAGUCCGGAAGAGGAGAGUGGAAUUCCUGGUGUAGCGGUGAAAUGCGCAGAUAUCAGGAAGAACACCCCGUGGCGAAGGCGGCUCUCUGGGACGGUACUGACGCUGAGACGCGAAAAGCGUGGGGAGCGAACAGG